AAAUUUCACUAGAUCUAGUGAUUUUUUAAGAAUCUAGUGAAAUAGUGAUAACUUUUCAAAAUAGGCACAAUUCUAGUGAUUUUUGGAAAUUUCCAUUAUAUUGAAUAUUUUUACUACAUUAUACCAAAAAAAUAUUUUCAGUAGUAUUUUUAAUACGUUUGUAUUAAAAUUCAUUUAAUACUUCCCUGUAUUGUUUAAAAAUUUCUUUGCAAAGAAAGAAAAAUCCCCAGAAAUUUGUGAUGGCAAUUUAAUACCUAGUCAUAACAUACCAUAACAAUUAACAUAAACAUGGCAAUCCUUAAAAAGUGAUGACUGUGAUGAGUCAAUUCAGGAUGACCACACUCUCCUCAACUCAAGAGUUUCAAGUGUCAAGAGAAGGACAUAAAUAAAAGAUAAUAGUUGUGCGGUUUUCUUUGACAAUCCAUUAGCCCAACUAAUAAGAAAAUCACGUUUGUCUUAUCUAUUUCAAGGAGAUGAAUAAAUAAACUUUUAAUAAGUAUUAUGAUCUCCAUCCAUGUCCUAGUUACCGAUUCCCGCUAUUCCCUAAAAUAAAAUGUUUCAUCAUAAUGACUACCUUUGUAAAAAUCACUUAGCUCUUUAUUUAUAAAUUAAUUUUAAAUUAUGGUUGUUCGGAAUAAUUACUUCAGCAUAAAAUUGUAAGGUCUUUUUGCGUUUUAACGAACCUGGAUAAGUCAAAAAUAGGGAAAUCCCCUGAAAAUUUUAUGAAAGCCCUAUGGUUACGAGUAUGCGCAGUAACGAAAAAUGUGUUACUGCGCAUAAUUAUACGUUAUUGCGCAUGCGCAUAAUCUAGUGAAAUUCUAGUGAUUUUUUUCAGUGAAAUCUAGUAACUUUUAUAAAUUUGACCUGGCAACACUGAUAUGGCUGCUGGAAGUAAAACAUAAAUGUUAUUCUAUAGGUUCUUAAUGUGUUUUAGAUGGUUUUAGAUCAUUUUUGUUGUGUUUCUUUGUAAUUUUGUGUUGUACAAAGAUUAAUUUAACAUUUUCUCUGGAAGUAUUAAUUUAGAAAGAUAAUAUGCUUCAUUGGUGUUGUGUUUUGAAGUGUGAAAUACAAAGUAAUCCUGAUAAAGUCAAGAUAAAGUUCACUUUUAAACUGAACUAAAUACGGUAUCAGCUGAGAGACAACAAUGGUUAAAUGCAAUACAAUGUAAGGUUUUACUAGCGAAAUGAAAAUUCUCCUGUCCUGUCUGCUGUAAUCAUUUUAUAUCUGGAAAACCAGCCGACUUAAUCGAUAAUAACAAUCCAGAUUGGGUUCCUUCAAUAAAUAUGGGCUAUAAACACAAUGAAAUAAGUUCCCCAAAAUCUAAAAUGAAGUGGUAUCAAAGGAGAAUUAAAAGAAAAAAUAUUCAUAUCGAAAUUAUUUAUAAGGCACUGGACUGUCUUAAAUUCUACAAAUACUAGAAUCAGCUGAGAGAAGUGGUGUACAAAAAAACUAGGAAGGGAAUGGAAUAUGUGGCUACGAAAGGCAAAAGAAAUGAAUACAAAGCAAAUGUGACACAUUUUUUUAAAAAUAUGUAGGAAUAUCAGUAAACUACAUUAAAAAUGUAUGAAAAGAUUUUGUGCAAUAAAAAUGUUUAUAUUUA
rnacentral:lncRNA from 1 species